GCCUCCAUGUAUGCUUUUAUUACAGUAGUGAGUGUGUAUAUAUGUGUUUCUUAUCACAGUUCUGCUCCUCUUAGUGUCUCUUAGUUUGCCUCUUACCCAAGUAGAUUCACUACGGUUUCCUCGUGUCAUUCAACAUGCAGCAGUAGGCAUUGUUUAUUCACAGUGCUGAAACCUCUGUUGAAGGAAGAAUUGCUACAAGUUUGUCAGGCUUUUCUGUGACUCUCACUGCUGAAUGCUUCACUCUUACUUGCCUUGUGUCUUCAACUUCAGAUGCAUGCAAAAAUAAUUUACUUUAGAGGCAGAAGUGUCUGUUCAUUUUGGCUAAGCCCUGUGUCAGAGGGAAUUCAGACAGCAGCUGAAACUUUAUUGCUGCAUACACAAAUGAAUACUAUCAUGCUUCAUGGACCAUGAAGUUUGGAUUGUAUCUAGUAAAUGAGUAAGUAGUUUUCAUAAAUAAUUAGUCUUCUGCUUAAUUAAAGGACUAGCUUUUACAGCACAUUUGUCACGUGAUAUAUGCAUAUGGUGAUGCUGUUUUUAAUGGAUUGUGGGCAAUAAUCAGCUUGCUUAAACUUUUUAGCCGAUACUGCCUCAUCAUACUAACAGUAGCUGAUGAAUUUAAUUUGCUGUGUACUGAGGUAUUGAUUAAAUGAGAAUUCCUCGGGAGAGAGGAAGUUAUUUGGAAACUCACACUACUGCUAGACCUGGUUUCACUGGUGGAAACAGCUUUCUAAACGUUACUGUCUCUUAAAUAGUUCAGUUAGAAAUCCUAAAGCCAGAUGAAAUUUAAUUUAACAUGGCAUUUCGCUGUUGGUGGUAGACCCUCUCUACUUUGACUUUACGUUCAAUUUAGUUGUGAAAUAGCUUCUGCUUUUUGCAGAGUACUGGAAAGCUAAAAUGCAAUGCAUUUGCUUAUAGGUGCUUCGUCUCAAUUUUUUUUCAUGUAUUAACACCGUUCCCUUCCACCGCCAUCCAAGAUUCAGUUAGAAAUUCUUGCCAAAAGAUCUAUGGACUGGAAGAUGGCUCAGUCUCUUAUUAAAAAGAUUAUCAUUUGUGUUAAGGGAACCCAUAGAAGAUUUGCAGCAACAUGCAUAUCACAGAAAGGCAGGCAGAUACCAUGACCUUUCUUCCUCCAGGGGUACUGCUGGUAGUGUGAAUGGCACCCCCCUGUAUUUUGGUUGUGGGUUUUUUUUGUUUGUUUGGAGUCUAUGAUCUCAUUUGGAGCUGCGUUUUAAAAAUGAAAAUUUUAGUAUGUUUUACUAGAAUAAAUCCUUGAGAUGUAAUUCUGUGCUGUGAGUG
rnacentral:lncRNA from 1 species